rnacentral:lncRNA from 1 species
GAUCUUGCAUCGUUUUAAAAAGGAGAUAAGAGAGGGCAUGCACAUGGGACAUCUAAGAAAAAAGGGUGGCAUGAGAGAGGUUUCUUGCAUGAGAAAAGAAAAGAAAAAGGAAAAAAAGAAAGAAACAAAUGGGUGCUAGUUUCUUCAGAGUGUACCCUAGGGUUUUGGCUUAGGGUUCGGGAAGUGAGAACGUGAACUAUGAGUGUCAUGAGCCCACCAAGC